ACUCUUAGCCUGCCUGGCUGUGAACACACUGCAGUGAUCUCAUGAGGAGAAGCAUGGGACAGUCAUGAGAUGGCUCUGCUUGGGACCUGAGCCCUGGCUCCCCAUUAUGUUUGGGUUGAACUAGACAGUGUCAGGACAUUGGCUGGAGGGGCUGGAGCCCAGCAGCAGAGUCAGGCUCUGAGAGAGCUCCAAGGAGUGGAUGCCUGUCUCCCUGAUGAGUGCUCGUGGUGCCACAAGGGCAGUUCAGACCCAGAGUCCUUCCCUAGAGACCCUCAAGGAAGACCUGAGCCAUCACCCUGGGCCUGGCCCAGCAACAUGAAGGAAGGCCACUGCCUACACCCUUGUCUGAGCCUGUGAACAUGGUGUCUGAGGCCCAGCAGGCAUUUGAGGCACAGCAGUGUGGCAAGUGAUCUCUGUCAGCUUCAUCAUGGUGCCUGUGUAUGCAGAGGGCCUUAUUCUGGCACACUGCGAUGGAAAACUCAGCAGUGGGAACUGGAAGGAAGGUAAGUACCCACGGGACAAUCAGCGUGUAUGCACAGCUCUCACAUCCUCUCUGAGUCUCAAUUUCCACAGCAGAGAAAGGGACAUAAAGGACCUCCCCCUCUUCUUCAAAAACACAUUCAUAGAGCAGGCUCUGGGUCUUGCAUCACACCCAGGUGUCCACUGCCCAGGUCUGUAGGGCCAUUAUUGACUUACAGUAUUUAAACAUGGCUCUGCAAGUCCCUGGGGGUUCUCCUGGCAUUGAAUACUGAAGAUGCACACCUACAGAACUUGCUCACAGACCUGUAUUGAAGAUGGAAUGUCUGUGCAAGUGAUAUGUUCUACAGGAAGGCAGCACUGGACUCAGAGAACAGCCUUACACCAACUCUGUGCCCAAGCAAGGCAAUGAGCUGAAUGCUGGCUGAUUUGCUAUUCAGCAUCAGUGGCUGCUAUUGUCCUUGAGGGAAAUCAUUACCUUAUUACCUGGGCAGUCUUGGAGAGAUAAAGCCCUGCUCUGUUUUUCAGCCUGUCAAUGUGUUACAUCUCUCUCUAUUUAAAGUUAGAGGGUACAAAUACUUGGCAAGCCUAAUAUGAAGCAAUGACAGCUUCCAGACCUAAUAAAUUGAGAAGAAUUUAGGGAUUUAUUGUACAUUCAAAAUUGCUUGAAGACAAGACACAAUACUGUAAGGAGAUUCUUGAGAAUAAACCCUCAGGUAUUUUGAUUAUCGAGGCUUGCUUCCAGUUUAAUCACAUUUCCCUUUCUUCUCUAGAGGAAAAAAAAUCAUUACAGCCACCACCCCCAUUCUGCUCAGAGCUCUCCUUGCUGCUGUUUUCUUCAUCUCUUUGCCUGAGCAGCUUCUAGAAAGGGAGUUAAUUGGAUUGUUGAUUUUGUUUUAAAAUAUGGUUGGUGAUGUCAUGCUUAUCCAAGGGCCAACCCCCUACUCCCCCUUAAGCCCUUCCAGGGGUUACUGAUUUGUGACUGCAGCAGUUAUUAACUUUCAUGUCAUUAAAAUGCCUGAACAGAAAUUACUUGUUUGGAGGCAGCUUCCUGUCUCCUUACAGCUCACUGCUCAGGAUCUGCAUUCCUGUUUCUCCCCUGGGCUCAGCCAGAAGAGCCAUUUUCUCUCUGCUCUGUGGUUUCCUGGGUUCAGCUCUCCCCCAUCUGCCUUCUAACAUUGCUGCUCCCCACCUUGGGAGGCAGAAGGCCAGGUGAGAAAGGCCACAGUGGUGUAGGGAAUGAAGGGAAGGGUGGUGUUCAGGUGGACCACCUGACACCAGGACUUGACUUCACUCCCGCAAGGGAUGUACCACUACCUUGUGAAACAGCUCAGAACAGAGAGCUCCCCAGCCCUCCUGAGAGCACACCUCUGCAAGGUUUUAGCUCUGAGACUGCCCCUCUGAGGGUUUUCCUCCUAUGGAGCCCUCCUCUGAGGUGAACUGCCUGUAGCAGAGCGGCUCUGGGGCAUGAUGAGGCUGCACACAAUCAAAAAGGCUAUUCUGUGGCUAUGGGAAUGCAAGGCUGCAUGUUAGUGGAGACUACUGACAAGAGCCUUGUGAACAUUGCGAUAUCACCACUUGGAGGAAAAACAAGCAUUGUGGACACUGCUAUUUCCUCACUGUGGUCUCUGAGGAACCUGUAGAUGCUCCUUGAGAGAUGCAACACAGAGCCCUGUCUGUGAGAUACCUGUCAAGUUUGUUGCCAUAAUGCAAAGCCCAAGCUGCAGCUCACCUCAUCUGCUCCACAGGCUGCGCCCCUGCUUGGGAAAUGGGAUGUAUAAGUCUCAGGGAAAAUGGGACUUAGCUCAUUGAGAGAAAGACACACAGGGUCACACUUUCUUCCUCUUCUCUCCCUGACUGACACACAUGGCAGGGAGGAAAUGUCAUUUUGCAUAUCACCAUUCCCUGUUGCUCAGGUAGCUCCCACAUGGGAGGCAGGAAAGGGCACCAGAGCAUUGAAGCAGUUCAUAAUUUCACCCUCCCUCUCCCUGCAGUUGCAAAGAGCAAUUGCAUGGGGCUGGGAGGGCUAUUUUAGGCGGGUGCUGUGCCCCAGGGCUGGAGCAGGCUGCAGGGAAGGUCCGUGAGGGCACUGCCCUGUGCUUGCACCUGAGCACACAUUGGUGCACACAAACACACACAGAGCACAGGUCAGGCCCGGUGGGGAGCACGGGGGGCAUCAAGCACUUGGCUCCACUUGAAUGCUUACCCUGGAAACAGGCCAAGGACAGCACGUGUCCACAGGCACCAGAGCCCCUUCUCUGAGCCAUGGUCUACUUAGGUUGCCAUCCUGCAGGACAAGAGAGUCUUGGGCUGAACCAACUCACCACUGUCCCUCCCUGGUCUACCCAUUGAACUGAAUGCUCAGAUGUUCUGCCUCCAUGGCUGGCAGGAUUGGGGAUGAGGGAGGAGAAGGAAGCCUGUCUGAGGGUCAGGGGAGUGCUUCAGUAUCUGCCAUAUAAUGAACAAAUAGAAUU